AUUGAACGCUGGCGGCAUGAUUUACACAUGCAAGUCGAACGGUAACAGGCCGCAAGGUGCUGACGAGUGGCGAACGGAUGAGUAAUGCAUCGGAACGUGCCCAGUCGUGGGGGAUAACUACUCGAAAGAGUAGCUAAUACCGCAUACGAUCUAUGGAUGAAAGCGGGGGACCGUAAGGCCUCGCGCGAUUGGAGCGGCCGAUGUCAGAUUAGGUAGUUGGUGGGGUAAAGGCUUACCAAGGCAACGAUCUGGAGCUGGUCUGAGAGGAGGACCAGCCACAUGGGGAAUGGGACACGGCCCAGACUCCUACGGGAGGCAGCAGUCGGGAAUUUUGGACAAUGGGCGCAAGCCUGAUCCAGCAAUGCCGCGUGCAGGAAGAAGGCCUUCGGGGUGUAAACUGCUUUUGUACGGAACGAAACGGCUCUGGUUAAUACCCGGGGCUAAUGACGGUACCGUAAGAAUAAGCACCGGCUAACUACGUG
rnacentral:rRNA from 1 species